rnacentral:rRNA from 1 species
AUUAAACGCUGGCGGCAUGCCUUACACAUGCAAGUCGAACGGCAGCACGGGGGCAACCCUGGUGGCGAGUGGCGGACGGGUGAGUAAUACAUCGGAACGUGCCCUGGAGUGGGGGGAUAACGCAGCGAAAGCUACGCUAAUACCGCAUAUUCUGUGAGCAGGAAAGCAGGGGAUCGCAAGACCUUGCGCUUUGGGAGCGGCCGAUGUCGGAUUAGCUAGUUGGUGGGGUAAAGGCCUACCAAGGCGACGAUCCGUAGCGGGUCUGAGAGGAUGAUCCGCCACACUGGGACUGAGACACGGCCCAGACUCCUACGGGAGGCAGCAGUGGGGAAUUUUGGACAAUGGGCGGAAGCCUGAUCCAGCCAUGCCGCGUGAGUGAAGAAGGCCU